UCCCUCGUGGCUCAAGAGUAAAGCAUCUGCCUGCAAUGCAGAAGACCUGGGUUUAAUCCCUGUGUCGGGA
rnacentral:tRNA from 1 species